UUUUCGUAAUGCGGGCCUAUUUUACGUGACUGCGCUGCUUUUUUUUCAUGAAGAUUUCGGUGCAAAGAGCAUCAAUGCUGAACUGGACCACCUCCUCUCUCCUGCUGGUUCUGAUUCUGUGUUCUGCUGCUCUGGGAUGAAGAUGAUCUCCAGGAUCCUGCUGCUCCUCAUCCUCAGCUCAUGUCUCUGUGGUCAGUCUCCAUCUUGUCUUUGUGACAGAAAGCUCUCUAGAUGGAGCUGAAAGACUCCCAUGUUCCAGUUCUCAGUGUGUCUGCUCCUCUCUUUCCCUCUCUGUCUCCUCAGCAGCAACAUUUGUAGUGAAUGUGACACAGAGCAGCUAUCAGGCAGAGGAGAACCACAGCAUCACUCUGGAGUGGACCUUCACCACCAAGACUCAGGGAAC